UGGGGUUUUGAUAAAAUAAGUGAUACAAAAUAAUGUUUGAUUGCUGAAAAAAUAUUUUAUAGUUUUGCUAAAUAAAUAUUAAAAAUAUGUGAAACAAAUUUUUGAUUCCUACUCUCGGGUUCUAGAGAUAUAAGAUUUGUUCUCGUAAUUGGUAGAACCCAAAUCUUAAUCGAUCCUAGAAAAGAAGUUUAAUUUGGUUUGGUUCUCCGGUUCCGUAUAAAUGUACACAUGCCUAUAUAUUCUUAUAUUUAAUAAAGGAAAAUUGCCAAAAAUAUCAUUUUCAAAAUACCACUUUUCAUGUUUGCACUAAUUACUUUUACCUUUAUCUUUAAUGAAGGGUAAAAAAUAUUUAUAACGUUUUGAUUAACUUUGACAAAAAAAAAUUAACUAAUUUAAACUUAAAUCAUCAACUCUAAACCCUAAAUCAUCAACUCUAAAUCCUAAACCACGAAACAUCAACUCUAAACCCUAAACCCCAAAACAUCAACUCUAAACCCUAAACUCUAAACCCUAAACCUUCAAAUCUAAACCCUAAAACAUCAACUCUAAACCCUAAAUCUAAACUCAACACAUCAACUUUAAACCCUAAAUCAUCAUCUCUAAACCCUAAACCCUAAAUCAUCAACUCUAAACCCUAAACCCCGAAAGAUCAACUCUAAACCCUAAACUCUAAACCUUCAAAUCUAAACCCAAAAACAUCAACUCUAAACCCUAAACGUAAACCCUAAACCCUAUAUUUUUCUUAAAUUUGUACCCUAAACCUUUAAAUCUAAAUCCUAAAACAUCAACUCUAAACCCUAAACGUAAACUCUAAACCCUAAAACCCUAAACCUUCAAAUCUAAACCCAAAAACAUCAACUCUAGGGUUUUAGGGUUUAGGGUUUGGGAUUUAGGGUUUAGAGUUUAGGGUUUAUAGUUGAAGAUUUAGGGUUUAGGGUUUAGAGUUGAUGUUUUAGGGUUUAGGGUUAUUUUUAGGGUUUAGGGUUUAGAGUUUACUUUUUAGGGUUUAGGGUUUAGUGUUGAUAGUUUAGGAGUGUCGAUGGUUUAGGGUUUAAAGUUGAAGUUUAGGGUUUAGGGUUUAGAGUUGAUGUGUAAGGGUUUAGAGUUUAGGGUUUAGGGUUUAGAAUUUAGAGUUUAUAGUUGAUGUUUCGACGUUUAGGGUUUAGAGUUGAUGUUUCAGGGUUUAGGGUUCGUAUUUUAAAAAAAAAUAGGGUUUAGGAUUGAUGGUUUAGGGUUUAGUGUUCGUAUUUCAAAAACAAAUAGGGUUUAGGAUUGAUGGUUUAGGGUUUAGAGUUGAGUUUUAGAGUUUAGGGUUUGAAUUUCGAAAUAAUUUCUAAACUCUAAAACUCAACUCUAAACCCUAAACCAUCAAUCCUAAACUCUAUUUUUUCAAAAUACGAACCCUAAACCAUCAAUCCUAAACCUUUUUUUUUUUUGAAAUACAAACCCUAAACCUUGAAACAUCAACUCUAAACCCUAAACCCUAAACAUUCAACUCUAAACCCUAAAACAUCAACUCUAAACCCUAAACACUAAACUUCAACUCUAAACCCUAAACCAUCAACACUAAACCCUAAACUAUCAACACUAAAUCCUAAACCCUAAAUAGAAAAAUCUAAACCCUAAACCCUAUAAAAAUAACCCUAAACCCUAAAACAUCAACCCUAAACCCUAAACCCUAAACCUUCAACUCUAAACCCUAAACUCUAAACCCUAAAUUCUAAACCCUAAAUCGUACAGUUGAUGUUUUAGGGUUUAAAACAUGAACUAGAACCGGGAUUUUAGGACUUGAAUGGAUCGAUUCGUGUCAGUGGAAUGCUAGAAUAUGGAUUACGGAUCGAUUCAACCGAUUGUUAGGCUUAGCAAAUCAAAAUUGCUUCGUAUGAGUUUUUGCAGGUUCCCGCGAAGGAGAAAUCAAUCAUUGAUACACAACUUUCAUCGAUCGAUUGUCACACCGAAUAUCGAUCGAUCUCGCACCAAGCCAUCGAUCCGAACUGAAUUCCUAUUUUUGUUUAUGAUUUUUGGUUGCAGAUGUAUGAAAGGAGAACGAAGCGGAGGUUCGACGUAGGCGGCAGUAGCACAGCUCUACCACCAUCACCGGUUCGGGACCAGGACCCUCGCCACGCGAACGCGAAGACGAACCCAUACCGCUCUUUGACUGUUUCCAUGACACGCGCAAAGCAGCGAAGAGCUUGAAAUGCAGAAACCGCGCAAUAUCAGACUCGUGGGACGACUAUGACAACAUAUUCUUCAACGAGUGGCUGAGGGUUUCUAACAAGCCAACAUGAUUCGUCGACCCGGACGUGAUUCGCUCGCUCGGCAUCAGAUCAGACCUCGAGGACAUGUUCAUGGAUCUGGGUAUGGGAAACAUGGCCACCAACCCACAGGUCCUCUACCCGGAGCUGGUCCGUCAGUCCAUGGCCACGGUGAAGGUCUACUACUGCAACGAGAGGGCAAAGCGAGCGAGCGAGGGCACCUUGACAUUCUUCAUCCGUGGCAUCCGUUACAGAGUCUCUCUCUCGACAUUCUGCACUAUCUACGGGUUCCAGAACGCAGAGCUCGAGCACAUUGUAGUACCCGGUUUUGAAGGGAGAUCUGCGUUUUGGGGACACAUAGCUACAUGCUUCUUCGACUCGGCCUCAGCUCUUCAGACAGACAUCCGUCACCCGACUCUACGAUACUUCAUGAAGGUCCUUGCCAACACUUUUUUGUGCAAGAUGGAACCUAGUAAGGUUCUGGAACAGGAGCUCACAUUGGUCUAUUACGCGGUUAAGAGCUUGGUUCCCUUGGAGGGCAUCGAGGAGCCCGCAGACGACGAGUUUCCCAACCUCGGAGCCAUUUUUGCUGAGCAUCUAGUCAAGGUCAAGAUGUGGCCGUUCCAGUCACCGGGGAAGAAGAAGGAGAUGGUUGGGAGUCUACUUACACCAAUCUUCAUACACUGCGAAGUACCGCUAGAUGAUGCUGCGAUGGACGACCAUAAAAUCUACAUGGAUGCAGCUCACCUCACAAGCGCACAGUGGCUCAAGGACAACCGUUACUGGAAUUGGAAAAUUAAUGAAAACGAUAAAAAGGUAAUUUGUCAUUUUAAAUGAAACAUUUUUGUGAUAUUGGGUUUUAGAGUCUAGAUUGGGAAGAAAAAGUUGAUAUAUGGCUAUUGAAGGUCAUUUCUCUAUACGUAAUUUAUUUUAUUGAUAUGAUCUUCAUAUUUAAAAUUUUAAUCUUACUAAUAUAUAUUUUGUUUUAAAUUAAGACAUUUUUUAUUUUUAUAAUAAUUUAUAGAUAAGAUCUUGAUAUUUAAAAUUAUUGCUCGUUACCUUCAACAUGUAUGUAGAAUAUCAAAUCCUAUAGGAUCUCCUAAAACCUACAAACUUACUAUAUUUUAAGAAGUUAUUAGAUCUUGAUCAGCACAUCCGUGAAUGUUUUAUUUUUUUGUUCUAAAAUAUUCUAAGAAUUAUUAGAUCUUGAUCUUAAAAAUUAUUGACAUAAAUUGUAAUGUUACAUGAUAGAAACAUUUAAAGUUGCGACCUCUAAAAAGUAGUUUAAAUUAAAAAAAAAAUCACACAUGUAAUAAGUAAUGAUUUAUGUGUUUAAUAAAUAAGAUAUUUAUUUUAAAAUUUAAAUAGAAAUAUAUAUUUCUUUCCAACAAAAUCUUUUUUAAAUCUUGGUCAAAUGUAUUUUGGGAAAUUGCCAAAAAUGCAAUUUUCAAAGUACCAGUUUUCAUGUUUAUACUAACCACUUUUACCCUCAUCUUAAAUGAAGGGUAAAAAACAUUUAUAACCCUUUGAUUAACUUUCACAAAAAAAAACAUAUAUUAACUAAUCUAAACUUAAAACAUCAAUUCUAAACCAUAAAUCAUCAACUCUAAACCCUAAACCAUGAAACAUAAUCUCUAAACCCUAAACCCCGAAACAUCAACUUUAAACCCUAAACCUUCAAAUCUAAACCCUAAAAUAUCAACUCUAAACCCUAAAUAUAAACCCUAAACCCUAAAUGUAAACUUAAAAUAUCAACUCUAAACCCUAAAUCAUCAACUCUAAACCCUAAACCAUGAAACAUCAAAUCUAAACCCUAAACCCCGAAACAUCAACUCUAAACCCUAAACCCUAAACCUUCAAAUCUAAACCCUAAAACAUCAACUCUAAACCCUAAACGUAAACCUUAAACCCUAUAUUUUUCUGAAAUUCG
rnacentral:lncRNA from 1 species